UGAUGAAUGAAGCUGUUGGUUGUUG
rnacentral:piRNA from 1 species